CUUCAACUUAUUACAUAAGACAUAAUAGAAAAAUCUCUAGCUAGACACAAUCAAGGGAACAACCUACAACAAUGAAACCCUAGAAGCCCAGCCACCGUCAGAACACCUUAGAGCGCCGUCCCUCACCCUCCAGCCAAUGACCAUAACUCCAGCUCCAAUAUCCGCCGUCUCUCACAUCAAACGACAACCAAACACACCUCUGAACCCUUCAGCACAUUAGACAAAGCCUAGAGAGCAAAAACGGGCCAACCACUGGACUUGCCGGUAAAGACCAGCCAGCAGCCCCAAACCUGCCGAAAUCCUCCGUCGAUCUCAUUUUCUUUAACCUAGAAUAGGUUGUAGUCUGAGGUCUCGUUCAGCCAUACGUCGAGGUUGCUGUCCGAGUUUCUGUUGCUGUUUUCAUCCUGUACGUGCUGUAAUUCGCUCGAUUUUGGCUUAAAGGUCUUGUACGACUUUCAAGCAUCGAAGAAAAUAUCAUAACUCCUUUUGAGGUUCAUUCCUCUCUUUGUUCUUGAUUUAGAUACUGUGCAUGUGUUUGUGAUUGAUUUUUAAUGAAAUGAAUGUUAUUUGUUUGUUCUUUUUUUUUUUAUAAUCCGCUUUGGUUGGUUUGAUUGUUGAGCGUCCUUUUCGAUCCACAAUUGCAUAUGAGAAUAACACUAAAAUCAGCUCAUUAAUUCAUUAAUAGUGUGAAAUGGCCAAGUGACUAGUUUGAUUUGAAAAGCUGUGUGGACUAAUCAUCUACUUGUGAGGUGAUGUUGAGAAUUAGAUUGAGAGUAAAAAAAUGAAUUUGCUAUCAUUUGAUUACUAGCAGAAAUAUUUCUAUUUGGUAAGUGUCUUGAAUGUCAUUGUGCAACUGAGAAUUGGCAUGGCAUGUUUAGGAUUAUCAUGUCUAUUAUUUCAUCUAUUUUUUUAAAUGAUCGUUAGGAGCAUGAUGUUUUAGGUCGACUAUACUCGGAUAGGCAAGCCUUAGGAUUUUAUUAGUUUCGAGGCAAGAGAUCGUUUUCUUAGUUAAAUUUAUCCGGGGAAUGCCCCGUGAGAUUUGUAUAUAUUAUUAUCGGGGGAAUGCCUCGAAGUGAAUGUAAAUGAAGGCCAAAGACGAAGUAACUCGAGGAAGCAUAGAAUAGUACUUUACUUUUGCUUGUUUUUCCUUUAUUAGGUGGGGAGGACCUCGAACCUCUUUGAUUGUUUAGUCUCUUUUUGCGUGUUUUUGCCUCAAUUUGAAUAUUUUAAAAGCCAACUAGAUCGAGUACGCAACCAUGACGUUCACGGGACUUGGGGAGUGCGUAACACCUUCUCCCCGAGUCAAAUGAACUCCCUUACCCUAAUCUCUGGUGUAGACUUAAUUUUGAGUUCAAAUGUUUUAAAAGGAGAAAAUGGUUUCUAAGAAACGGUGACCUGACACACCAAAAUUAAAUGUCAAGUGGCUGAUUCUGAGUUUAUUUCCUUUAGAAACAUAAUUUUUGUUACUUUCAAAAUUGAAAACCCUUUUCAAGCUUUUAUUAAAUCUUUUUAUUUACUUAAGAGGGUUUAAUGAAGUGUAUGGUUAAAAAAGGGGUGUGACACCCCCUUUUGUCACGUGACUUGAACAUUGAGAUUCACGUUGAUCGUGAAAUGCAUUUGACUGAUCUAAUUGCAGGGGUUGUUCCACUUUGUUACCAUCUCUUUUGCUG
rnacentral:lncRNA from 1 species